GUGAAUCAUCAAAUCUUUGAGCGCAAAUUGCACUCUCUUCUAAGAUGAUGCCAGUUUGAGGGUCAGCCUAAAAAAAAUCGACGUAGUCACUUUUUCGCUGUGACAUUCGGCGGAAAUUGUGUCAUCUUAAACCUUUGGGUUUUUUAAGCGUCUUAAAAUGUUCUUUACGUUUCCACGAACGUUUCUAAUAUUUUACUUCUUACACACGUUUAAGGUAUCGAUCUUUAUGGGACGUGGCCGUGGCAGCGGAUCCCGUCCAUAAAUAUUU
rnacentral:misc_RNA from 1 species